rnacentral:rRNA from 1 species
CCAACGGUUCUCUCAGUACGGUCGGAAAUCGUACGUAGAGGGUAAAGGCAAAAGAGGGCGUGAUUGCAAGACAGACAGGUCGAGGAAGGAGGAAAUUCGGACUGAUGGUUCGGGUGGGUGUGAGUGGAAGGGCUAUCGCUCAACGGAUAAAAGCUACCCCGGGGAUAACAGGCUUAUCUCCCCCAAGAGUCCACAGCGACGGGGAGGUUUGGAACCUCGAUGUAGGCUCAUCACAUCCUGGGGCUGUAGUAGGUCCCAAGGGUUGGGCUGUUCGCCCAUUAAAGUGGUACGCGAGCUGGGUUCAGAACGUCGUGAGACAGUUCGGUCCCUAU